UGACUCAGUUUUUGACCACCUUCCUUGUAAAGACAUUUUCAUUUGACAAGCAAAAACCUCCUGAAUGACAAGCAGCACCAUGGCUCUAGAAAGACACGGCUUAGUGGAAAACAUGAUGGUGCUGGGUUGGCAUCUUGACUCAGUGACCUUAGAAGUCUUUUCCAAACUUAAUGACUCUGUGAUUCCAUGAUUCUACAAUUCUAUGAUUCUAUGACAUGCCAACCUGACAGCCCAGACAGAGCUGGGGAAAAGCAAAAAUUAAAUGUCCCCAUAUCAAAGAACCUUCUGUAUAAAUGAGUGACACAUUUGGUCAGUGUCAACUGCAAAUAUUAUCCACUUGCAUUAUCUCAAAAGCUAUGAAGAACCUACAGAUGCCUCUUAUGUCUGCUUUGGGACACACAGGUUUGCCUGCAGCCAUUGCCUGCUUUCUCAUGAACCAAGAAUGAUGAAAACAUUUAGCAACCAGUACAUAGUUGUCAACCCUAGAGCACCUCAGAUUCUUUCCAAGAACACUGAUAUAAUCUCCACAGUACCUCAGACAGGGUAAAGAACUGCCAGUCCAUGAAGAUCUUCAAAAUGUCCAAAGUGUGUUUUCUGUCUUCUGCAAACAAUUGUCAUGAAGAAAAUUCCUUUCUACUGAAAUGCAUCAUAGAUUCCAUUCCCGUGAGCUAUCAGAGCUCAGAAAGCUUCCUUUCACAGCUACUCCAGUGACUCCUGCAGCUGUUGUGCUGCUGCUGUUAUUUCUGCAUUCAUUGCAACCCCAAUAGAAAGAGACAGGACAGAACAGAAAACACAUGUCACUGAAAGUAUUAUUUGGAUCUACUAUAUAUCCCUGCUUUUUUGUGGAUGAACAUGUUAGAGGGGACGAGAUUUACAUCUAUGAAACCUCAACUACAAACAAAGGCAAUUUCAGACAGGGAUGUGGUGAUCUUUAAAAGAGAGCAGAGACUCACAAAAUCACAAGAUGGCAGAUUCACUGGUAGAAGAGAAAGUCUUCAGCUAUAGUA